rnacentral:rRNA from 1 species
GACGAACGCUGGCGGCGUGCUUAACACAUGCAAGUCGAACGAAGUGGCGAACGGGUGAGUAACGCGUAAUCAACCUGCCCUUCAGAGGGGGACAACAGUUGGAAACGACUGCUAAUACCGCAUACUGAAGGAGGGGAUUGAGUCUGAUUAGCUAGUUAGAGGGGUAACGGCCCACCAAGGCGAAGAUCAGUAGCCUGUGUGAGAGGAUGAACGGGCACAUGGGGACUGAGACACGGCCCAGAAUACUACGGGAGGCAGGCGUGGGGAAUCUUCCGCAAUGGACGAAAGUCUGACGGAGCAACGGCGCGUGAGGGAUGACGGCCUUUGGGGUGUAAAGCUCUGUUAAUCGGGACGCGGUACCGGAAUAGAAAGCCACGGCUAACUACGUGCCAGCAGCCGCGGUAAUAC